GAACGAUAAAGCACACAUCUGCUUGUGUUCAGACCGGGCUCCAGGAGGCGCGGUUUCCAGUUACCACUCCUCCCGCGGCUCACCUCCCCGGUCAUCCUGGAAAGAUGUCAGGAGCUGUGGAAUCCGAGUGCGGCUGCCAAGAGGAAUCCAGAAAAGCCAAAGAGCCCAAGCAUGUCAGACCUUCCUGUAGCCACACACACACACCCCUCAAACCCCAAGGAAGUGAGUGAGAAUCACCGGCAGGGAGACAGCCAACCAGGCGCUGAGCUGCGCUGUUUUGUGUUUCUUU
rnacentral:lncRNA from 1 species